GUGCCAGACUCCUACGGGAGGCAGCAGUGGGGAAUAUUGCACAAUGGGGGAAACCCUGAUGCAGCGACGCCGCGUGAGUGAAGAAGUAUUUCGGUAUGUAAAGCUCUAUCAGCAGGGAAGAAAAUGACGGUACCUGACUAAGAAGCUCCGGCUAAAUACGUGCCAGCAGCCGCGGUAAUACGUAUGGAGCAAGCGUUAUCCGGAUUUACUGGGUGUAAAGGGAGCGCAGGCGGCGCGCCAAGUCUGGUGUGAAACCCCGGGGCUCAACCCCGGGACUGCAUUGGAAACUGGCGUGCUGGAGUGUCGGAGGGGCAGGCGGAAUUCCUGGUGUAGCGGUGAAAUGCGUAGAUAUCAGGAGGAACACCGGUGGCGAAGGCGGCCUGCUGGACGACAACUGACGCUGAGGCUCGAAAGCGUGGGGAGCAAACAGGAUUAGAUACCCGCGUA
rnacentral:rRNA from 1 species